rnacentral:rRNA from 1 species
UACGAAGGGGGCUAGCGUUGCUCGGAAUCACUGGGCGUAAAGCGCGCGUAGGCGGAUUGCUAAGCCAGGGGUGAAAUCCUGGAGCUCAACUCCAGAACUGCCCUUGAUACUGGCGGUCUCGAGUCCGGGAGAGGUGAGUGGAACUGCGAGUGUAGAGGUGAAAUUCGUAGAUAUUCGCAAGAACACCAGUGGCGAAGGCGGCUUCACUGGCCGGUACUGACGCUGAGGUGCGAAAGCGUGGGGAGCAAACAGG